GCUAGCCUGGCAUGGAUUGGAAGGAGCCCUCGCUUCUCAUUUAAUGGCAGAGCUGCCAAGAAUAAGUCCCAGGUCCCCGGCUCUGCCCUUCCCAGGCAUGUCCAGCCCUGAAGCAGGAGAAGAUCUCAGCCUUCUAGUCCAUGGAACAUCAUUUAUCCAGGUGUGAUGUUGGGCUAUGUCGUGUCUACGAGCUAUGCGUUGGAGUUCUUCAAAAAGAAAAAGGAAAAGGAACAAUGACUUGAAAAGCCUUUUAAAUCUGGGACUGUUUGGAGAAUCCGUUGCAAUGUAACAGAUGACCCCAAACCUCAGCGGCUGAAAACAACAAUGGCUUUAUUUGCUUAAGAUUCGGUGGGUCAGGAAUUCAGGACUUAGCCAAGUGGUUCUUUGGCUCCAUGUGGUGCCAGCCAGAGUCAUUCACUCAGCUGCAUUCAGACCAUGACUCGCUGGGCUGGUCUGGAAGGCCACAGAGGCUUUGCUCACAUGUCUGGUGCCUGAUUGUUCCUCCAUGAGUCCUCUUUCUCUCUCUCUAUUUGGUUAGCUUGGGCUUCCUCAUAGCAUGGCAGUCCCAGAUCACUCAGACUUCAUAUAUGGCAGCUGGCUUCUCAAAAGGAGCAUUCCAGCAUGUAAAAGCAGAAGCUGCAGAACCUAAGGCUUAGCCUCACGUUGCAUCACUUCUGUCCCAUGUUAUUAAGACAAGCCACAACUGAUGUCUAAACUCAGAGGAAGGGGAAAUAGACUCCACCUUUUAUGGGAAGAGCAGCAAAGGCCUUGAAGCCAUAUUUCAUCUACCAUAGGGACAAAUCCCUUACCAGAUCCCACCAAAAAACUUGGAUAAAUAUAUACUCCAUAGGAUCAGGCCUCACUCAGUGCCACUAAUUGGAGGAUUAUAAUUGUCCACAAAAAGGCUAAGCAUAAUGACGGACUAAGAUAAAGGAUGAGUUUGCUGCGGAAAGUAAUACUAAGGACAAAAUUGAGGGAGAGUGUCAGCCCAACUUGUGAAAUAUGGCUAAUACCUGUGCUAGUUAUACUUCUUUUGGUUACAAAAACAUAAUCUUAGAGACCCUUUGGAUUGCUUAAACAAAUAAACAAACAAAAUAUUGGAAGGACUACCAGGUUGUGGGCGAGUCUCACGGAGCAUGGAACAACUGGAUCACAGAGAAACCAGCUCUGGGGACUCAGCCGCAGGGGGCUACGGGUUGUCUUUUGAGGCUCUGCUGCAACCGCAACUCAGCAUUCAAGACUCUUGCUCACUGUUUUCCUCACUUCCAAAUCUCACUUUCCAGGACAGGGACUCAGUGGCCCAUCAUUCAGGUGUGCUGCUAGCUCCAGCCUGGGGGACUGAUAUGGUCUGGCUGUGUCCCUACCCAAAUCUCAUCUUGAAUUGUAGUGCCCAUAAUCCACACGUGUCAUGGGAGGGACCCGGUGGGAGGUAACUGAAUCAUGGGGGUGGGUUUUUCCUGUGCUGUUCUCGUGAUAGUGAGUAAGUCUCAGGGAGAUCUGAUGGUUUUAUAAAGAGCACUUCCUCUGCACAUGCUCUCUUGUCUGCUGUCGUGUAAGACGUGACUUUGCUCUUCCUUCACCUUCUGCCAUGAUGGUGAGGCCUCCCCAGCCAUGUGAAAGUGUGAGUCCAUUAAACCUCUUUCCUUUAUAAAUUACC
rnacentral:lncRNA from 10 species